UGAGCCGAGGCGGGAGAGCCCCCACGAAACCGGUGGGGCACCGAAGGAGCAAACUCCCCGGAAUCUCUCAGGUACCUGCUACCGCUUCGCGCGA
rnacentral:ncRNA from 1 species